GUUUUAUUGUGACUACUGCGAUACAUACCUCACCCAUGACUCUCCAUCUGUGAGAAAGACACACUGCAGUGGAAGGAAACACAAAGAGAAUGUGAAAGACUAUUAUCAGAAAUGGAUGGAAGAGCAGGCUCAGAGCCUGAUUGACAAAACAACGGCUGCAUUUCAACAAGGAAAGAUACCUCCUACUCCAUUCUCUGCUCCUCCUCCUGCAGGGGCGAUGAUACCACCUCCCCCCAGCCUUCCGGGUCCUCCUCGCCCUGGUAUGAUGCCCGCACCCCAUAUGGGGGGCCCUCCCAUGAUGCCAAUGAUGGGCCCUCCUCCUCCUGGGAUGAUGCCAGUGGGACCUGCUAAGUAUGGUUACUAACAGGUUCUCAGCAUGGGCCUCCUGCUCACCUUUCCUACAACUCCGAACAAACGCUUAGUGCUCCUGGAAUGAGGCCACCCAUGGGAGGCCAUAUGCCAAUGAUGCCUGGGCCCCCAAUGAUGAGACCUCCUGCCCGUCCCAUGAUGG
rnacentral:sRNA from 1 species